rnacentral:rRNA from 1 species
UACGUAGGGUGCAAGCGUUAAUCGGAAUUACUGGGCGUAAAGCGUGCGCAGGCGGCUUUGCAAGACAGAUGUGAAAUCCCCGGGCUUAACCUGGGAACUGCAUUUGUGACUGCAUGGCUGGAGUGCGGCAGAGGGGGAUGGAAUUCCGCGUGUAGCAGUGAAAUGCGUAGAUAUGCGGAGGAACACCGAUGGCGAAGGCAGUCCCCUGGGCCUGCACUGACGCUCAUGCACGAAGGCGUGGGGAGCAAACAGG